GCGGCGGCGCGCAGGCGUCCUGGGUGGGACUUCCGGUGGCGGCCGUGAGCGUCUUCCGGCCACGCGCGAGUUUGUUCCGGUCGGCCUCCGGGACAUGAAGCCCCCCGGACCCCGAGCUUGGACCCUGCCGUGACAGGCCCGCACCAUGCGAAGCCUCCUCGGCGCGCUCUGGCUCGCUCUGGCUUGCGGCUCUGCUCACGGCACCCUGUCGAAGUCCGAUGCCAAAAAGGCUGCCUCCAAGACACUGCCGGAGAAGACUCAGGUUGCGGGCGUGCCCGUCCAGGAGCGGGGUCUGGUGGUGACAGACCUCAGAGCCGAGGACGUGGUUCUUGAGCAUCGCAGCUACUGCUCCGCGAAGGCCCUCAGGAAACACUUUGCCGGGGACGUCCUGGGCUACGUCACUCCAUGGAACAGCCACGGCUACGACAUCGCCAAGAUCUUUGCGGGCAAGUUCACCCACGUGGCGCCCGUGUGGCUGCAGCUGAGGCGGCAUGGCCGCGAGAUGUUCGAGGUCACAGGCCUCGACGACGUGGACCAAGGGUGGAUGCGAGCAGUCAGGAAGCAGACCAAGGGCCUCCGCAUAGUGCCCCGGCUCCGGUUUGAGGACUGGACGUACGAGGACUUCCGGAACGUCCUGGACAGUGAGGACGAGAUAGAGGAGCUGAGCAGGACUGUGGUCCAGGUGGCCAAGAGCCAGCGCUUCGACGGCUUCGUGGUGGAGGUCUGGAACCAGCUGCUGAUCCAGAAGCACGUGGGCCUCAUUCACAUGCUCACCCACGUGGUCGAGGCGCUGCACCAGGCCCGGCUGCUGGCCAUCCUGGUCAUCCCCCCCGCCGUCGCCCCCGGGACCAACAAGCUGGGCGUGUUCACGCACAAGGAGUUUGAGCAGCUGGCGCCCCUGCUGGACGGCUUCAGCCUCAUGACCUACGACUACUCCACGGCGCAGCAGCCUGGCCCCAACGCACCGCUGUCCUGGGUGCGGGCCUGUGUCCAGGUCCUGGACCCCAAGUCCCGGUGGCGGAGCAAGAUCCUGCUGGGGCUCAACUUCUACGGCAUGGACUACGCAGCCUCCAAGGAUGCCCGCGAGCCCAUCAUUGGGGCCAGGGCGGCACCCACGGCACACGGAGGUUCCCAGGCUAGGGGUCGAGGCAGAGCUGUAGCUGCCGACCUACACCCCAGCCACAGCAACACCAGGUCCGAGCUGCCUCUGUGGCUUCCACCGCAGCUCAAGGCGAGGCCAGGGAUAGAACCCGCAUCUUCAUGGAUCCCGGUCGGAGUCGUGUCUGUUGAGCCACGACGGGUGCUCCCUCUUUGUUGUCUGUCAUUUGCCUUCUGUCACUGUCUUCGUGCUCCUAGACUACGUCUUUGUCGCGUCUCGUCUGCCGGCAAUGCCACCUGCGGCUGUCCCCUUCCUGUGCUGGUGCGCUCUCCUCUGCGGUGUAUUUGGGGCUUCGCUCCUGCUGUCCCCCGAGCCCCGAGCGCCGUGUGUGGGCAGCCAGCUGCAGGCCUUCUGACCCGUUGUGCCGGUCAGACCCGACUCGGCUGCAGGCAGUGCCACCCUCCCUGCGGCCCCGAGGGCAGCUCCGUGGGCCUCUGCUCUGGGCUGUUGCCACGCUGCGCGUUCCACCUGGUUGGACGCCAGGCGUUUGGGUGUCCCUGGCCCUCUCCACGCAUGUUCUAAGUGCUGUCACAUCCCCUGGGAACCGCAAGCCGGCCGGCCUCUGUCCAGGGCCUGGCCCUGCCUGGGUGCGGUGCAGAGGCCAGGAUCUGAGUCAGCCUGCCUGCUGCCACGCCACUGUCUGCAGGGCAGUCUCUGCACGGUUCACCGCCAGACACCCGUUCUGGCUCGGUGCCGGCCCCCAGGGACUUCUCAGGUCUGCCGUUGGGAAAGGACAAAGGCUGGUGGAUUGGCCCUUGGCUGGGUUUGAGGGCUGUUCCCAGUGGGGUGGGGGCUCCCCUGUUUCCUGGGUCCCUCCUCUGGGGCAGAGCCUCCAGACCACCCCUGGAUUGGGCCUCUGGGGUCCAGCCCAGGCCAGGGAGCCCCCCUCUCCCAGCCCCCUGCGCCGGGCACUCUGCGUCCCUGAACCCAGGCCUGCCCUCCGCUGGGGCAGUGCUGUGGCCAUCCAGCCUGGUGAGAGGUGGCCCGGGGCAUGAUGCCCAUCUCCCCACCCCAGAGGGGGCCCUUCAGAGCCCCCUCGUCCCGGCAGGCUGCCCUCUGCCCCUUAUGUGCUGCCCCUCCCACCACCACAGCCCUUCUUGGACACAGGGACCCCAGGAGGUUCCAAAAGUCUUGCUGGUGCCUCCUGCUCCCUUCCCGAGUCCCGACAGGGUGCCUGGCCGUGGUAGCUGCUGACCGGCUGGCCGGGAGCGGGAGGUCACUUUCUGCUGCAGAAGGAGGCGUCACCAGCCAGGACUGCCUGAGUAAGGCGGGGGACCGGUGCCCCCGGUCCGCUCUGGUGCCGGGCUCUGCUGGCCCAGGCCGGCGGGGAGGGCGGGAGGUGUCGGGUGCCACCGCUGCAGCUCAGACACAAGUACAGCCAGGCUCGAGCCGCAGAAGCGUCCUGUCCCCAGUCCUGGAGGCUGGAGUCCGAGCCCCAGGUGUGGGCAGGGCUGGUCCCUCGCAAGGCCUCUCUCCUGGGCGUGGGGACGGCUGCCUCCUCCCCGUGCCCUCCCUCUGUGUGUCUGUGACCUGACCUCCUCUUCCCUGGUCCUGUGGGACCAGGGCCUGAGGCCAGUACCUGGUCAUUUUGUAUUUAUCGUCUCCUCAGAGCCCCCGUUUCCAAAUCCAGCCCACUCUGCGCUGCUGGGGUCAGGGCUCCAUCCUGUGACCUUGGGGGACCCGGCGGCUCAUCCCAUACCAGCGUCUGAGGCUGAGGAGCUGUCAGUUACUCGGUGUGGUCCAGUGGUAGUUGCAGGAGUGGGGUGGUUGCAGCCGUCAACACAGCCCGCGUGGCCCAGUGACAGGCAGCACGUGGCCCCUGCAGUGCCGAGGGGCCUGGUUCCAAAGGUACAUCCAGACGCUGAAGGACCACAGGCCCCGGAUCACGUGGGACAGCCAAGCCGCAGAGCACGUCUUCGAGUACAAGAAGAACCGCGGUGGGAGGCACAUCGUCUUCUACCCGACGCUGAAGUCCUUGCAGGUGCGGCUUGAGCUGGCCAGGGAGUUGGGCGUCGGGCUGUCCAUCUGGGAGCUGGGCCAGGGCCUGGACUACUUCUACGACCUGCUGUAGGCUGGGCCUGGACUGGCCUGCACAAUAAAGACUCUUCUCCGCCUUCCGUGCCGUACGUGCCGCAGGCAGGGGCGGGGGGGCGUCCCGGGACCCCAGCCUCCUGGUCAGCUCGUGGUGCGGGCAGUCCCCCGGGCAGCAGUAGGAGCCCGCUGGGGGCCACAGUCGUUGUGGGAUGACAGCUCGCCACAGGCCCAUUGCCCACCGGGACAGCCGUGUUCCCAGGAGGAAACAGGAAGCCGGAAUUUCUGGGCAUCAAGGGACAGCUGGCGCCGCCCCAAUCGGGGGGUAAACCUUGGGGUCUCAGCACGCCAAGCCCUGUGAUCACGCUGAGCAGGCCUGGCGCUGCCUGGGGACUCCGUGAGGCCAAAGCUUGUAGGGGGCUGAGCAGGUAC